rnacentral:piRNA from 1 species
UAGGUUGUGGUUUCCUCAUAGUGGAAA